ACAGGUUUGGACUCAUGUUAUUCACGCAACAAUACAAACAUCAUGCCUAUUGAGUGAAAUAAAGAAACUAAAUUGUAUCAUCAUUUCAAACAUGCUUUUCUCAAUGUCUAUAGAAACUUGUUGACUUAUUCUGGGUUAUCGAUUUUCAUUGAAUAUGGCCUUAUGGUCUCCUGUUUUAUGUACAGUAGCUACUCUACAGCACACUGUACAUCUGUAGUGUACAUCUGUUUUCUCUCUCAUACUGUUUCUACCUUUCUUAUCUACAUUCUACAUUCCCGACAACAGUAAAUCACACCCUGCGUUGUUAGUGGUACUGGUAGACCUGAACUUCUCAGCCACACCUCUAACCCAUCCCACUUUCAGAGGAAGUAGAUCCUCAUUCGGUGUACGUCUCACAAGCUAUCAACAUCAGUGGGAGCAGAAUAAGUUAUCUGGUACCAGGAGGGGCUUAUGGGGCUUAUGACUUCUCUACAUUCCAGACUACAGUAAAUCACACCCUGCAUGGUACUGGUAGACCUGAACUUAUCAGCCACGCCUCUAACCCAUCCCACUUGGGUAUAAGCUGACUCAACAUCAGCAAGAGCAGAAGACUAUCCGAUCCUAUGGCCCUAUUGGAGCUCUAGGAGAUGGUUUUAACAUGGAAGCAUCUUCUUCAGGGAGAUCUACAGGACGUUUUCAGCCAGGUGUUUUAUUUUAUAAUUUCUCGCUCAGGUCCUCUUUAGGCUUCUUAUCUUUGUGGAUAUGGUAGUUCUCAAUGACAUGAUUUUGUGUGUUAUAUGCAGUCAAGUUGAUCAUUAUUAGCAAUCUUGAUAAAGAUUAGCAAAAAAGACUACAAUACUAUAAUAUAUAAAUAUGUAAUAUAAAAUAAAACAUACAAAUACUGAGCUAUAUGGUAAGUAAAAAAUGAGGACAUUUUAUACUAAUACAAUUGUUUAGAGAAAUAUAUAUUUUUAACAGGUAAUACAAAAAAAAUCUAAAGAAGAUAGGGGUCAAAAUGAUUGGCACCCCUGUUUUCAAUACUCCAGCACCCUCCCUUUGAGAGGAUAAUUACACUGUUACACUGAGCCUUAAUCUAAAAUGUUUUAUGAGAUUGGAGAACACGUUGGGAGAGAUCUUAGACCAUUCCUCCAUUCAGAAUCUUUCCAGAUCCGUGACAUCAUUUGCCUGCUCUUAUGGACUACCCUCUUCAAUUCAAACCACAGGAUACUGAUAUGGCCAUUGCACAGUGUUGAUUUUGUGAUUAUAUUGAUUAGUGCUUGGGGUUAUUGUCUUUUUGGAAGUGUCAGCCUCCUGGCAGAGACAACCAGGUUUUUGGCUAAAAUGUCCUGGUACUUGGUAAAGUUCAUGAUGCCGUUGACCUUACGGGCCCCAGGACCAGUGGAAGCAAAUCAUCUUACUGGGAUGAGUAAGCAGUUAGCGGACAGCAGACAAAGCUACAGCAUGAGGUCGGGAGCCCUUGGCACCAUGGGCUGGAAUGCCCCAGAGGUCCUGGAUGACAGCAGGAAAGUAAACCCUGUGAGUGGCUCCUGAUCUUUACACUGGACCAGAGAACUGUUCAAGUCAUUACAGAUUCAGAGAUAAUCCUGAAAGAAAUGUGAUGAAAUAGGCUAAUUGGCAUUUCCUUACAGGAGUUAAACAGGAUUGUCCCAUUGCUCAAAGGAACAGUUCACCCUAAAAUCAAAGUUGAUCUUCUGUUGUGGAGAUCAAGCUACAGUAUAUUACACAUACGUACAUAAGAAAGAUAGGCACCAUCUACACAACCAUGGUAUGGGAUGUGGACUAUGCUCGACAUUAGACCACUUUUGGGGAUAAGAGGAACCACUUUCCAUCCAUAAGUUUAUGCCAUUAAAGUCAUAUUAUAUAUAUUUUUUAAAUGUGAUGGAACCAGGAAGUUUAGGUACAAUUUUAUGAUUGCCAAUAGAUCAUUUGUUCAUUCGACAUGGUGGGAUCUUUUUGUGUCUGUAAAAUGAAUUAUGUGAGAAAUGGCAGUGGAAACAGCUUCAUAAGCAAAUAUUGAUAUAAUAACCAUCAUACUGAAGUAAACU